CCCCAUGUAAGGGCUGACUGACAUCUCUUUCUGAGCAUCUUUCCCUGUCAAACUUUUCCUGUGAAAUCAGAUCUUUGGAGACAGAAACAGGAGGGAAAUAUGUGGGAAAUUGGAAGAAGCUUACAAAAGACUCACAGUAGUCACUGCUGGAAAACAUCUCAGCAAAACAUAUGGAACCUGAAAUCAAUCAGACAAAUUGGAUCAGAUGUCUGAAGGACAAGCCAACCAAACUUCUUUGCAAGAUUGUUUGCUCUUGCAACUCUCUGUGGAAAAUUGUUCUAUGCUUCAGUGCUUUGUACUGCUCAGAAACUUUCUGCUUUUCUGCCAGUGAGCCCUCUGUUCAGGGGCAAUUUACAUCUAGCUUUACUGUGCUGUUUAUUAUCUUGAUGUAUUCAUAACCACGGCCCCAGCAGGCAUUUGUUUUUCAGCCUAUAAAGCCUAGCAAAAGUAAUCUUGUGUGCGUGUGGUUCUAAAGAAGUGCCUUGUUUAUUCUGGUGACAAUAAAACACAAACUAAAGCUACAGAUCUGGAGAAAA